rnacentral:rRNA from 1 species
AUUGAACGCUGGCGGCAGGCCUAACACAUGCAAGUCGAGCGGAUGAAGGGAGCUUGCUCCUGGAUUCAGCGGCGGACGGGUGAGUAAUGCCUAGGAAUCUGCCUGGUAGUGGGGGAUAACGUCCGGAAACGGGCGCUAAUACCGCAUACGUCCUGAGGGAGAAAGUGGGGGAUCUACGGACCUCACGCUAUCAGAUGAGCCUAGGUCGGAUUAGCUAGUUGGUGGGGUAAAGGCCUACCAAGGCGACGAUCCGUAACUGGUCUGAGAGGAUGAUCAGUCACACUGGAACUGAGACACGGUCCAGACUCCUACGGGAGGCAGCAGUGGGGAAUAUUGGACAAUGGGCGAAAGCCUGAUCCAGCCAUGCCGCGUGUGUGAAGAAGGUCUUCGGAUUGUAAAGCACUUUAAGUUGGGAGGAAGGGCAGUAAGUUAAUACCUUGCUGUUUUGACGUUACCAACAGAAUAAGCACCGGCUAACUUCGUG